ACCGAACGUCACACACACUCCCACGCAAAAUGCAGGGGUAUGGAAAGUGCAUGCAUCGAAGCGAAAGCACCGACACGAACUCGAGUCAGAUCACGCGAAUCAUCGAUCAAAGCGCAAUCGGUGAUAAUUAUGAAUGAAGCUCCGUCUAUCGGUCGGUCGGUCGCCUCGCGAAAGCCAUCACCAAUACACUCGUGGCGAAACAGACUCUGUUGUGUGGAACGAAUCUGUGAAGCAACAAUCGCUCGCGACGACCGUGUCCAUGUCGCGUCGUUUGAGUGUGUCUGUUCCCUCUACAAUGGCGACGAUGGUUGUGUGGUAGGGUUCACGGUUUGUCUGUCGUUCCCGUGCUCUCGAGGGUCAAGUCGCCAGUUAGUUGUUCGCUACAUUUCUACGCGUACGGCGGCGUUUCGGUGAAUUCGGUGGCUUCACGACUAGUUUUGUGUCAUUAUUGUGUAUAGAGAGGGAAUAUAUGUGAAAGGAUUCGCAUAAACGCAACCCUUAGCAUUCCAUGCAAACCGUCAACCCCUUUUUAUGUGAGUCGGAACUGGAAUGCCGUGUUCGGGGAAGAAACGGAAACAUCCGGUGUGACAGUUUAGAAGUGCAAAGGUUUCACUUUUGAUACCGAACUUCAAGUGAGAAUGUUUGAUACAAGCACAAAGCCACGGUGGUGAUUGGCGAUUAAUUAAGGUGAAAUUCGAGCGGAAGGCGGGAAGAAAGUUGGGAAAAAUAAGAAGAAAGUGACAUUAACCUUAAUGCAGGAAUGGAACGAAGGUGUACUGGAAAUAGUACAAGGCAAGGCAAUGAAUGAAUGAAACGGGCCAAGAUUUAAAGUGUGAAACGAGAAAAGUGUCAUUGAUGGACGCAACAGUUUGAAGAAGAUGCAUUGAAAAUUUAAGAAACAUGUAUCUACUUUAGCUGGGCGGAUAACGGUCACUGGAUUAAAGACAACCAAAGAUAAAUACAGUGGAACGACAAGUCUUCAUUUGCUUAACAAAAGGUAACUAUUUCAAUAAGAGGUUUACGCAGUAGAAGUAAGUUAAAAAAUUGUUCGAUCAUUGUCUUACAUAAAUAAAGUCAGUAAAUAAUCAUUAAAUCGUUUGUUAAAGUAAGUGUGGAAUGUAGGCUACAACUGCAGAACACGUUAUGGAAACCUUUUUAUUUUUGCCACAGAAGCACCUAGUAACAGGUGGAUGGCAACGGUUAUCAUUCCAUCGUGGCCAAAAAGUCGCAAAAGUGCGUGACAGUACACUACUGACAGCGAGGGUGGAUAUUAAUCCCUGGAGAAGCCUAACCGUUCCGAUACAAAAAAAAAAAGAAUAUAUCUUUUAUCUGGGUUUAUGUGCUCAGCUCAAUUCGUUUGUAUAGUGGUUAGCUCCAUAGAUCUGGGAAUUAUCCCAUUAGGUUGAUUGAAGAAUGUUAUGUACCUACAUAAUUGUCUUGAGGGAGAGGGGGGCUACUGUUUAACACGCAAAUAGCAACAUUCGUAGCCAAAGAGCGUGCUGGAUUCAUGAAUAAAAGUUAUUCCAUAUUCGGAAGUCUCUAUGAAGGUUUCUUCAAAUAUUUAUACUUCUAUGUGUGCCUUUCCAAAAUCUUAUGUCAAUGUUUGUAAUUUUGAAGCCAGGAAAUGUAGUAGAUGAUCGUCGUGUUAAAGUUAAAAUCUUUAAAACACAUAAAACGUUAAAGUAAGCUGCUUGCUGCAAACUUUGUUCAGGAGUUCUUUCCAAACUAGCUUUGUUUCGCUUCGCUCGCUUGUUUUAGAAUAUUCUGAAUUUGAGAGCGUGGAUUACUAAUGACUAUGUGACCCGAUACAGCAAACUCGCCAAUCGUUGCAUACUCUAUGAUUUUUCUAUGACGUGUGCAACAAUUGACGAUUUAUCCUAAUAUCCAAUUCAAAAUAACGUCCUGCCAAGAGCAAAAAAAAACGGGUUUUCUUGAAGAAUUCCUCCAGGUAUUUUUUCAGGAAAUUCUUCUGGGAAUUUUUCAAGGGACUUUUUCAGCCAAUUCUCCUUUGUGAGUUCCUCCAUGGACGCUAUGUGAGGUUCCAAUAGUGAUUGUUCCAGGGCUUGUUCUAAAAAAUGUUCAAGGAAUUCCUCCCACGAUUUCUUUCGAUUUUUUUACAGAUACUUCUUGUUCUUCUUCUUUAUGGCUCUACAUCCUCACUGGGACUUGGCCUGCCUCACUUCAACUUAGUGUUCUUUGAGCACUUCCAAAGUUAUUAAUUGAAGGGCUUUCUUUGCCUGUAUAUUGUGAGGCAAGGGAGUCGAGAAAAUUUUCCCGACUGGAACGUGCAUUGAACCCACCGUCUUCGGAUUGGCGAUCCAAGGACGAACGGGACGGUCGAGGAAAUAUCCGCCAUUUAUCUGUUGCUAUUAAGAUGGUAAUCUCAGAUUCUACUUCAUAUUUUGCAUCAAAAACCUAUCAUUGUGUAUGCUCACUUGCAGUGCAUAUGCUGAUUGUUUUUCAGCAUCUUCUGUGCGAUAGAACUCGAGAUUACCAUCUUAAAAAUCGCGAGGCAAAUUGUUAGAAAAAGAGGUAAGAUAGGAAAAAUAACACUGCGUCCCGUUUCACCUUAACCACUAGGCUAACUGGAGACCCCAGCUACUUCUGCAUUGAAAAAUUCAUCAAGGAAUUUUCCCAUAGCUUCAAUGAUUCCGCCAUGAACUGUUCCAGAGAUUCCUUCAAGAAUUUCUCUAGGGAUUUCACCCCGACAUUCCUGCGGGAAUUUCUCCUGAGAUAUCUUUAGAAGUUCCUCCAGUUAUUUUUCUAGUGCUUUUCUCGAGAUUACUUUCAGAAAUCCCUCCAGGGAUUCUCGAAGGGAUUUCAAUAGAAAUUCUUUUAGAGAUUUCUGCAAGUGCUCCUUCAGAGAUUUCUUCAGGGAUUUUUCCUUCAAGAAUUAUUUUAGAGAUUGCCCCAAUAAUACCCUCUGAAAUUAUUCGAAGUACUUCGGCAGCAAUUUCUUCCAGGAUCUAUCGGUAAAUUUUACCAGAGAUGAUUUAAAAAAUAAUCCACAAAUUUCUUGAAAAGUUUGUACAAAAAAUCAUUUUUACAUCCAAAGAUUCCUUCAAUAAUUCACUAAGAAAUUAUUGCAAAUAUAGAUUCCUUCAGAUUUUUUUCUAGAGACUCCUACAGAAAUUUUUUCAGGAAUUCACUUAGAAAGCUCUCCGGGGACCUCCUAAGGAAUUCCUCUUGGGAUUGCUUCCGGAAUUCCUUCUGGGGUUUGAUCAGGAAUUCCUCUCAAAUAUUCUUGCUUGAAUUCCUCUAACGAUUUACUCGGGAAUUCCUUCUGGGAUUCUCUAAGGGACAACUCCAGGAAUUAUUUGGAAAAUUCCUUCAAGCAUUCCUCCGUCAACUCUUCUUGGUAUUGCUUCAAGAAUUCCUCCGGUCAUUCAUUCAGCAGCUCCUCCAGGAGUUCAUCUAGGAAAUCCUCCAGGAAUUCUUUAGGGUUUCCCACGCGAAUUCCUCUUGGGAUUGCAUCCGGGUUUCCUCCUGGGCUUUCUUCGAGAAUUCUUCCAGGCACUCCUCCUGGGAUUUCUCUAGGGAUUUCUCCGGGGACUCCUCCAGCAAUUUUUUCAGGGAUUUC